GUGGAUGAGCACGGACAGCCUAGUAAAGGAGACCUGGGAAGGGAUUGUUUUACGAGCGCUGCUGGGAGGUAAUACGUUGUGAGUGGAUGAGCACGGACAGCCUAGUAAAGGAGACCUGGGAAGGGAUUGUUUUACGAGCGCUGCUGGGAGGUAAUACGUUGUGAGUGGAUGAGCGCGGACAGCCUAGUAAAGGAGACCUGGGAAGGGAUUGUUUUACGAACGCUGCUGGGAGGUAAUACGUUGUGAGUGGAUGAGCACGGACAGCCUAGUAAAGGAGAUCUGGGAAGGGAUUGUUUUACGAACGCUGCUGGGAGGUAAUAUGUUGUGAGUGGAUGAGCACGGACAGCCUAGUAAAGGAGAUCUGGGAAGGGAUUGUUUUACGAGCGCUGCUGGGAGGUAAUACGUUGUGAGUGGAUGAGCACGGACAGCCUAGUAAAGGAGAUCUGGGAAGGGAUUGUUUUACGAACGCUGCUGGGAGGUAAUAUGUUGUGAGUGGAUGAGCACGGACAGCCUAGUAAAGGAGACCUGGGAAGGGAUUGUUUUACGAACGCUGCUGGGAGGUAAUAUGUUGUGAGUGGAUGAGCACG